UACGGGAGGCAGCAGUGGGGAAUAUUGCACAAUGGGCGCAAGCCUGAUGCAGCCAUGCCGCGUGUAUGAAAAAGGCCUUCGGGUUGUAAAGUACUUUCAGUCGUGAGGAAGGUGUUAAGGUUAAUAACCUUAGCAAUUGACGUUAGCGACAGAAGAAGCACCGGCUAACUCCGUGCCAGCAGCCGCGGUAAUACGGAGGGUGCGAGCGUUAAUCGGAAUUACUGGGCGUAAAGGGCACGCAGGCGGUUAAUUAAGUUGGAUGUGAAAUCCCCCGGGCUUAACCUGGGAAUGGCAUUCAAGACUGGUUAGCUAGAGUCUUGUAGAGGGGGUUAGAAUUCCAUGUGUAGCGGUGAAAUGCGUAGAGAUGUGGAGGAAUACCGGUGGCGAAGGCGGCCCCUGGACAAAGACUGACGCUCAUGUGCGAAAGCGUGGGGAGCAAACAGGGAUUAGAUACC
rnacentral:rRNA from 1 species